AUUGAACGCUGGCGGCAGGCCUAACACAUGCAAGUCGAGCGGAUGAAGGGAGCUUGCUCCUGGAUUCAGCGGCGGACGGGUGAGUAAUGCCUAGGAAUCUGCCUGGUAGUGGGGGAUAACGUCCGGAAACGGGCGCUAAUACCGCAUACGUCCUGAGGGAGAAAGUGGGGGAUCUUCGGAUCUCACGCUAUCAGAUGAGCCUAGGUCGGAUUAGCUAGUUGGUGGGGUAAAGGCCUGCCAAGGCGACGAUCCGUAACUGGUCUGAGAGGAUGAUCAGUCACACUGGAACUGAGACACGGUCCAGACUCCUACGGGAGGCAGCAGUGGGGAAUAUUGGACAAUGGGCGAAAGCCUGAUCCAGCCAUGCCGCGUGUGUGAAGAAGGUCUUCGGAUUGUAAAGCACUUUAAGUUGGGAGGAAGGGCAGUAAGUUAAUACCUUGCUGUUUUGACGUUACCAACAGAAUAAGCACCGGCUAACUUCGUG
rnacentral:rRNA from 1 species